rnacentral:rRNA from 1 species
UACAGAGGUCUCAAGCGUUGUUCGGAUUUACUGGGCGUAAAGGGCGCGUAGGCGGCAUGACAAGUCACUUGUGAAAUCUCUGGGCUUAACUCAGAACGGCCAAGUGAUACUGUCGCGCUAGAGUGCAGAAAGGGCAAUCGGAAUUCUUGGUGUAGCGGUGAAAUGCGUAGAUAUCAAGAGGAACACCUGAGGCGAAGGCGGGUUGCUAGGCUGACACUGACGCUGAUGCGCGAAAGCCAGGGGAGCAAACGGG